GUGACUGCGUACCUUUUGUAUAAUGGGUCAGCGACUUAUAUUCUGUAGCAAGGUUAACCGUAUAGGGGAGCCGGAGGGAAACCGAGUCUUAACCGGGCGUUAAGUUGCAGGGUAUAGACCCGAAACCCGGUGAUCUAGCCAUGGGCAGGUUGAAGGUUGGGUAACACUAACUGGAGGACCGAACCGACUAAUGUUGAAAAAUUAGCGGAUGACCUGUGGCUGGGGGUGAAAGGCCAAUCAAACCGGGAGAUAGCUGGUUCUCCCCGAAAGCUAUUUAGGUAGCGCCUCGUGAAUUCAUCUCCGGGGGUAGAGCACUGUUUCGGCUAGGGGGCCAUCCCGGCUUACCAACCCGAUGCAAACUGCGAAUACCGGAGAAUGUUAUCACGGGAGACACACGGCGGGUGCUAACGUCCGUCGUGAAGAGGGAAACAACCCAGACCGCCAGCUAAGGUCCCAAAGUCAUGGUUAAGUGGGAAACGAUGUGGGAAGGCCCAGACAGCCAGGAUGUUGGCUUAGAAGCAGCCAUCAUUUAAAGAAAGCGUAAUAGCUCACUGGUCGAGUCGGCCUGCGCGGAAGAUGUAACGGGGCUAAACCAUGCACCGAAGCUGCGGCAGCGAA
rnacentral:rRNA from 1 species